rnacentral:rRNA from 1 species
CAGUAGCCGCGGUAAUACGUAGGUGGCAAGCGUUGUCCGGAAUUAUUGGGCGUAAAGGGCUCGCAGGCGGUUUCUUAAGUCUGGUGUCUAAGUGCGGGGCUCAACCCCGUGACGCACUGGAAACUGGGAGACUUGAGUGCAGAAGAGGAGAGCGGAAUUCCACGUGUAGCGGUGAAAUGCGUAGAGAUGUGGAGGAACACCAGUGGCGAAGGCGGCUCUCUGGACUGUAACUGACGCUGAGGCGCGAAAGCGUGGGGAGCAAACAGGAUUAGAUACCCCGGUAGUCCCUGUCUCUUAUACA